UACGGAAGGGGCAAGCGUUGUUCGGAAUCAUUGGGCGUAAAGGGCGCGUAGGUGGUUUUGUGUGUCUACCGUGAAAGCAUACAGCUCAACUGUAUUUUGUCGGUAGAAACUGCAGGACUUGAGGCUGGGAGGGGCUGGUGGAAUUCCCUGUGUAGCGGUGAAAUGCGCAGAUAUCAGGAGGAACACCGGUGGCGAAGGCGGGUCUCUGGGCCGAUACUGACGCUGAGGAGCGAAAGCGUGGGGAGCGAACAGG
rnacentral:rRNA from 1 species